AUGCCUNNGAAUCUGCCUGGUAGUGGGGGAUAACGUCCGGAAACGGACGCUAAUACCGCAUACGUCCUACGGGAGAAAGCAGGGGACCUUCGGGCCUUGCGCUAUCAGAUGAGCCUAGGUCGGGAUUAGCUAGUUGGUGGGGUAAUGGCUCACCAAGGCGACGAUCCGUAACUGGUCUGAGAGGAUGAUCAGUCACACUGGAACUGAGACACGGUCCAGACUCCUACGGGAGGCAGCAGUGGGGAAUAUUGGACAAUGGGCGAAAGCCUGAUCCAGCCAUGCCGCGNGUGUGAAGAAGGUCUUCGGAUUGUAAGCACUAUAAGUUGGGAGGAAGGCAGUAAAUUAAUCUUUGCUGUUUGACGUNCCGACAGAAUAAGCCCGGCUACUNUGUGCCACACCA
rnacentral:rRNA from 1 species